UAAAAUUAUAGUUGAAUUUUGCAUUAGUCUGAAUUUAUUUAUGGAUUUAAAACAAAAUUGACCUCAGAGAGAUCAGCAAUUUGGGUUUAAUUAUCAUUUUAAUUAUGUAACAUAGGAACCAAUUAUUUGUAUUUCAAUCACAAAUGGAUACCAAAUAUGAAAGGUGUCAAAGUCUGGCACUCCGAUUGUUUUCCUCAAACCGGGUUGACUCGCCGGGUCUUCCCCUUUGUAGUACUACGAUAAUUCCUCAAACAUCCACGGCUCCAGCAUUUUGUCGACUCUGUCGCUUAACGAGACGUCCACCCGUGGAAAGGUCGAGACCGGCUUCGAUACCCCACAGAACCAUCGAGUUCGUGAAUCAGGAUCUUGUCUUUACCACGCCCAGGCGAAGACGAUCCUGCCUUUCUGGCGGCGGUGAAAUUGAUGGACGGAGGAAUCAACCUCUUGGUUAUGUCUCCAUAUGCGACAAUAGCCGUAAGCUGAUAAAGAAAAGCAGAUCCCUUACUUUGGUCUUGUGCAAACUUUUAAUUCCAUUAUAUCUGCAAGUGUAUGAUAACAUUAAGGCCUUUUUGAGAAGUUUGUAAAAUGGAAGCAAAGAAUAUGGAGGAAGAAAAAGUUUUACAAAAUUCCUUUCUUUCUCUUGUUUGAGAAGAAAGACAAGUAGAGAAGGAAAAUGGAAAAAGAAAAUUCUUCAUUGGGUCCACCAACAUUUUCCUUCUAAGUUUGGCACGAAAGUGGAUUAAAUCAUCCUUAACACUAUUGUCGUCUUCUUCGCUGUUCAAAGUUUGCUUCAACUCGCUACUCUCUGAUCUUUGCGAGAAAGAAACAAUGGCUGACAUGAUCCUCAGCUUCGUGGUGGAUGAAACUCAGUCCAGGGCGCUUUCACUCAUUUCCGAUGAAAUCGACCUUGCUUGGAAUGUCAAAAAGGACUUGAAAGAGCUUCAGGAAUCGCUCAGCAUGAUUCGUGCUGUGCUUCAAGA
rnacentral:misc_RNA from 1 species